rnacentral:lncRNA from 1 species
GCCGCAUCUAUAACCAUGUCUACCAUUCUAUCUAUCCUUAUCCUGUUAACUUCUAACUCUUGCAAUUAUCUCUCAUGUCUCCCCAUGCAGGUAUUAAUGCUUAUAGUUUGGCAUAAAUUCACUCCUAUAUAAAUGGACAAUUAUUGUAUCCCUAUCAAGCAUUUUUCUACUGUCAUAUAUCUUACAAGAGCAACGAAUCUGAUCUUGAUGUA